GAGCUUGCUCCCUGAUGUUAGCGGCGGACGGGUGAGUAACACGUGGGUAACCUGCCUGUAAGACUGGGAUAACUCCGGGAAACCGGGGCUAAUACCGGAUGGUUGUUUGAACCGCAUGGUUCAAACAUAAAAGGUGGCUUCGGCUACCACUUACAGAUGGACCCGCGGCGCAUUAGCUAGUUGGUGAGGUAACGGCUCACCAAGGCAACGAUGCGUAGCCGACCUGAGAGGGUGAUCGGCCACACUGGGACUGAGACACGGCCCAGACUCCUACGGGAGGCAGCAGUAGGGAAUCUUCCGCAAUGGACGAAAGUCUGACGGAGCAACGCCGCGUGAGUGAUGAAGGUUUUCGGAUCGUAAAGCUCUGUUGUUAGGGAAGAACAAGUACCGUUCGAAUAGGGGGGUACCUUGACGGUACCUAACCAGAAAGCCACGGCUAACUACGUGCCAUCAGCCGCGGUAAUACGUAGGUGG
rnacentral:rRNA from 1 species